AACAAUGCAACCUGAUCUUCAUACUUCUUUUAACAUUCCUAGCAGGCUGUGAAAUACCUGUACCUCACACUGUCACAUACAUCCUGCACGAUCCUGCUGCAAAACAGAAUCUAUAGAUACACUAUCCUACUGUAAAACAGAAAGCUAUAGAGUACCUUUCUUGACCAAAAAGAUUGAAUAUGUACUGUGUAGACUCUGAACCUACCUUUGAGGCUCCCACUCCUCUAAGAGGACUCCUAUGAGUCCUUCAGUAACUUAUGUUGACUUUUUGUCACUAACAAAUACUUAAAAGGAACAACUACAAGAGAAAAGAUAUCUUUUAGUGUCUCAGAGGUUUCUGUCCAAGUCCAGCUGUAUCAAUUGCUUUGGGUCAGGGUAGGGCAGGCUAACAGGGUUCUAACAAAAAGCCCUGUGAGGGCCCAGGCAGCCCACAAUGACAGCUGUGUGGGUAAUUGUCCUUUUCUUAUCUAAUCUUUUGGAUGGGAGUGAGGGCAGAUCUUCCCUUGCAGGCAUGCCCAGGGCUGUGUUUUGCCAGUCUCCCAGGUGUUGCUCAAAUCAAUGGAGCAUAACAGAAGCUGCCCUUCAACCUUUAGAUUCAGAACUAGAGUGCACUGAAGACCAACCCCUCCAGGGAGUUUUCCGACUUAUACUAUGAUCCAGUCUUGUCUGCCAAGAGGCACACUAGUUUCUAGUAUUGUAACCUUUGGCAGAAUAGCACGUUUGUGUGCGUUUGAGACCACAGGCAGCAGGAUCCCUUGAGAAGACCCACGCUGAGGUCCGGGUCCUGAAAUGGUCUGGUUCCUUGCUACCUUCCUGAUUUUGUCCUUGAUUAUUUCUUCCCUGUUCUUUCCUGUGAUGGCUUCUUCAGUUUAUAAAAGAUGUCAAACACAGUUUCCUCUCUGGGGCCCGGCUGCUGCCAAUGCCUUUGGGGCUCUCACUUACCCAGUUUAUUUAAGUCUUAGCUUAAAUGCCACUUUAUUAAGGAUGCUUCCAUUUCCCUGCCACCUGAACCAGCUUUCUAUAUUCUUGUUGCUAUUGUCCCUCAGUUGUGCUUUAUUUUCUUCCCAGACUUCUGUUUAUCUUGAUGUCUUUUCAAAGUUCAGUUCCAUCUAUAUGUUUAUUUGCUUUUAUGUGUGGUUUUGUCCCCUAGCAGAUGUAGGCCCUCCACAAAUAUUGGUUGUUAACAUUUAAUUCAAAAUGCCUACUAAUACAAUUGUAAACAUUAAGUUGUCUAAAAUGUAUAUAAAUAGCCUCACACUCAUGGGUCAAAUGGGGCAGAGCAUAGGUUAUCAAGCAAGACUCUAAUGACAGCUUCAGAAAUGGGCAUUGGAGCAUUGGCUGCCCUGGGAGCAGCCCUGUCUUUACCACCUGGGCUGUGUGUUCACUACUACAAGGCACUGACACCACAGAGGAAAACCACAUGCAGUGAGGAUCUUCACCACUUCAACUUGACAGCUGGAUGUUCAUGAAGACCGGCAGUUCCCGUCUCUGCAUUUGCACAGGUGGGUAAACGGUCUGCCCCAUGGCUGGACCUUCAAGUGUAUCUGCUGAAUUCACAGCCAACAGGCAUCUUUAUUGAGAGCUGGGUUCCUGACCAUUGGGAAAAGACAGUUUCUCUUAAUUGCCUUCUGUCACUAUAGGAAGAAGAGAAGUGACCGCAACAGAGAGCUCCACAUGUAAGUGACAGGAAACAGGGAUUUUUGUCACCACUUUGGAGCGUGGGAUGGGCAUGCACACCCAGUCCUCAGCUGACCAUUGAACGGAAGUGGAAAGGGCACAGAUCUGGGUAUCACAUCUUGGGGCAGGAUUUGAAUUAAUCUGCUAUUCUCAUUGGACCAGUUACUGCCAAUGUCUAUCCUUCUAUGGGCAUAACUGAGAAUUUUCAUUUGAAGACUCUGUGGAAACAUUUAGUAGAUGUUAAAUAGAUAAACACUCUUUAGCGGUCAAGCAGAGUGGGCCGAGCGUAAGCCCCUCUGUGAGCCCCCAUUAGCUUGGUUUAUGAAGUGGGAAAGCAAUGCAAUGUUCUAGCUCUGUUAGGCUCAGUGGUAACAUACCACUAGGCUGCUUCUGCUGGAUGCUCCCAAAUGCAGCGUUAUUACUGUUGCUAGGUUCUAAAGAUGCAACCGAGGGGUGUCACAAGUGUGUUUGUAAAGCAGAACUCAGAUAUUUAGUAUAUUGCCAUAAAGAAAAGGAAAAAUAAUUUUAAAAGCACAAAAAUCCAAUUUAGUAUACGAGGUAAUAAAAUGUUGAGUUACAUUGUUGAAUAGAAUAUUGUCUAAUAUAUGUAAAAACUAAGUAGAUAGAAAUACUUUGCACUUUGCUUUUAAUUCGUAUACUUUCUUAUGUUUUAUGAAUUUCAGUGCUCCCUAAAAGCAAGAGAAAUGCAGGCUUGCUUCUUUUCCACGGAGUCACAAUUCUGACAUUUGAGGGUAAAAAUUAUUAAACCUGGAUGUCCUCAGACCUCUUGGUAAGCACCUUUACUGGCUGAGUCCUCAGAUGACCCUCAGAGAAUUUAGCAGUUUUAUCCAAGUUCCUUCUAGAGAGAAUUUGUGAAAUAACCUGAAGUUCAUUAGGCCAGAUGCUUCGGAAGGAAUUUCCUCAGGUCUCCUACCAUUGUCAGCCAGCUUGAUUACUGGUUUUGGACCAGCAUUCCAGGCUCCCCUUUUCUCAAGGACCCCAGCAACAGGAAGUAACCAGAGGAUUUAUCAUCUCUUAUCAUCAACAAAAGGCUGAACUGUUAGGUCUAAAGCCACUUCCCCAAGUACCACCAUUGCCACUACCAAAAUAUAAAAAAAAAGGCACUGCACUGCUGAUGACAUCAUCCCAAACAGAUCAAUCACUAACAGAGUAAGCAAGCCUAAGGGUGGGUUUACCAGAAAUGCAGGUCUCCUAAAAGGGUUUCUGUUUGCCAGAAACUACCUUUUUUUUUAAACAAAAAUUUAUUUAUUUACAUUUCAAAUGUUGCCUCCCU
rnacentral:sRNA from 1 species